rfam:Botryobasidium botryosum FD-172 SS1 unplaced genomic scaffold BOTBOscaffold_22, whole genome shotgun sequence.
GGCCGCCUAGCGAAAUGGUUAUCGCGUUGGUCUUCGAAACCAAAGGUUGCAGGUUCGAGUCCUGCGGCGGUCA